AUUGAACGCUGGCGGAAUGCUUUACACAUGCAAGUCGAACGGCAGCACGGACUUCGGUCUGGUGGCGAGUGGCGAACGGGUGAGUAAUAUAUCGGAACGUGCCCAGUCGUGGGGGAUAACGUAGUGAAAAUUACGCUAAUACCGCAUACGAUCUAAGGAUGAAAGCGGGGGAUCGCAAGACCUCGCGCGAUUGGCGCGGCCGAUAUCAGAUUAGGUAGUUGGUAGGGUAAAGGCCUACCAAGCCAACGAUCUGUAGCUGGGCUGAGAGGAGGACCAGCCACACUGGAACUGAGCAACGGUCCAGACUCCUACGGGAGGCAGCAGUGGGGAAUUUUGGACAAUGGGCGAAAGCCUGAUCCAGCCAUUCCGCGUGCAGGAUGAAGGCCCUCGGGUUGUAAGCUGCUUUUGUACAGAACGAAAAGGUCUCUACUAAUACUAGGGGCUCAUGACGGUACUGUAAGAAUAAGCACCGGCUAACUACGUGCCAGCAGCCGCGGUAA
rnacentral:rRNA from 1 species